CCUCAGUUUGCCCUCUCCUACAUCUUACAAGGUGGCACCAAUCUGAGGACAUGAAGAAACCACCCAGUGUCCAUCUGUAACUGUGAUUGGCAGGAAGGCUGGCAGCCAGCCCAGGUUCCCAUGGGAUGCUGAUGACGCUGAUCCAGGAACCACACUGAGAACUAAUGGGUUAGAACAUCUGCUAGAAGACCUGGAGGAAGCUGAAAAGAUUGACUGUUGAUCAAUUUUCAUUGAUAUGGUGAUGGCCAACCCCUGACUUCAUGGCCAGUCAACAGGCAGCUCUGGGAUACAGAUGGUCAGCAGUGCUGGCUAGUAGGUGUCACACCCUUCUGACAGAUUGUUCGUUCAUUAAAUACUUUGAGUACACGCUAAGCUCUCUGCUGGACACAGGAUACGAGGUCAAAGAGACUAUAUUUCAACCAACUGCCAAUCAGACAGGACUGGAUAACUUCCAGGUGGCACGGCUACUAACCCAUUACUCAGAUGGACAAAGAGCUGGGACUCCUGAGAAGUUUGCACUGUGGGUCAGCUCCAGCUAAACCCAAUCUAUUCAGCUGAGACUCUCAUGAAAACAGUGGCACAUGAAAAGGCCUAAGGGCUGGGCAGCUUGAGGACAGGUCUGGCUCAGUCCUACACCUUGAGAAAAUGAGAACUGGCCCAAGAAGGCACUAGUAAUCAAGUCUGCUGUUUUGUACAAAUUCUCUCAGCUGUUUGAUCCUCGUAUCUUAUUUUCCCAACUAUGAAAUAAAGCAAAGAGCCUUCAUGAUUGAUGGCUCCUGUCUCAGGAGGCUCAGCCUUCUAUGCAGGCAGGGACCUGUGCAAUGCGAUGUGAGAAUUCAAAGAAGAUGGUGAGAAUUCCACCAUCCACUUCCCACUUUCAACCUGCCUUCAAUUCUGGUCUACUCUGCUGCCUAUAACACCACCAUUACUGAUAUGUAGGGCUCUGGUGUGCUACUGGUCCCUUUAAAAUGCAAAUCUAUAUCAAGUCCCUUGUAUCUUACUGUGGAUAUCAAUUAUCCUCUGGUAGGACUGAUACAAGUGUGAGAUAACCACACCUUAGGAAAGGAUAAAAGGGCCUAAACAGACCAAAACUGAGCUAAUAGGUGUUCAAAUGGAGUCCAAAUUGAGGUGUGCUGUCAGUAUAAAAUACCAGAUUUUGAAGAUUUAGUUUAAAAGACUCAUUGAUUUCAUAAAUUGAUUACAAAGAUAUUUUGGAUCUAUUGGGCCAAAUCAAAUGUUAUUAAAAUCAUUUCACCUGCUACUUUUAUUGUUUUUAAACGUGGCUACUAGAAAAUUUUAAAUCCCAUAAUAUGGCUUGUACCUGUGGCUCAUACCAUAUUUCCCUUGGAUGGGGCUGGUCGAAGACCAGACUGUUCCAUGUGGUCCAUUUUGGUGAUGAUCUAGGCUGGCACUCUCCCCAUGGGCCUGGAGUACCCCUCCUUUCCUUCUCUAGCCUUCCUCCUGCCUGUUAUCUUCCAGACUUUAGCGCUCUUGUUUUGCAAGCAAGACAAUUCCCCCAGAGAGGUCAAAGGAACUGCCCUCGGCCUACAGGGGAGCUCACACAGUCCGGUGGCCAUGAGAUUUAAAGGGCACUGAGCACAGAAGUUGCCAAGCCCUUGGAAGGUACAGAGAAGAAGGAGUACCUGGAAGUGAGGCCGGCUGACUCUCACCUAAAGGAGACUAAACAAAAGAGGUCUGAGUGGUACAAGAAGGUUUCUAAUCCCAGCCCCUGAUUACAAGGAAGUAUAUGAGUUGCCUAUAAAUAAAUUGUAUUACAAAACCACCAGGAAGUGAGCCAGCUUGUUAGGGCCCUCUGUUUAUUACUUACAACUUCAGGGAAUUUCCAAAUUGCCAGACUAUUAGUUUGGGGGAACAGGAGAACUUUUUCCCUGUGAGAGAGCCUACUCAGAACCCAUUGUGUAAUUGUUGAAAAUAAAUAAUACUUUAUGAUAAUGGGCUGGAAAUGCUCCAACAGUCCUUGACCUAAGCCCCAGGCCCCAGCCCAAAGAGCAGAUGCUG